GGUCAAGUACUGCGCAACAAUGCCUUGCUCAACCCCGCGAGGUCCGGAAGGAAGCAACGGUCGGCACUGUGCAAUGUGUGACGCAGGAUUACUUGACCCUU
rnacentral:SRP_RNA from 1 species